rnacentral:rRNA from 1 species
UACGAAGGGGGCUAGCGUUGCUCGGAAUCACUGGGCGUAAAGGGUGCGUAGGCGGGUCUUUAAGUCAGGGGCGAAAUCCUGGGGCUCAACUCCAGAACUGCCUUUGAUACUGAAGAUCUUGAGUUCGGGAGAGGUGAGUGGAACUGCGAGUGUAGAGGUGAAAUUCGUAGAUAUUCGCAAGAACACCAGUGGCGAAGGCGGCUCACUGGCCCGAUACUGACGCUGAGGCGCGAAAGCGUGGGGAGCAAACAGG